ACCAAAGCUUUCGCUACACGAAGUGGAGGAGAGCCCAGCGACGCCGCAGCACCCACAGCGCCGAACCCCCGAGGCAGGAACGAGCCUUCGGCUUCUGACGGGCUGGAGAGGAGCCAUCGGCCCGUCCCUAUCGUGCCUGUUGACCUCGUCUCUCAGUGCCGCAUCCACACGGUUCUUGAACGCCGCCGGGGACGGUGACUGCAGCACCUCCCUGGGCAGCCUGUGCCGUUGCCUCACAGCUCUGUAUGAGAAGAAAUUUCUCCUAAUAUCCAACCUGAACUUCCCCUGGUGCAAUAUGAUGCCACUCCUGCUCGUCUCAUCGCCGCUGUCUGACCACGUUUGGCAGUAAGAUGCCGGCAGCAGGGCAAGUUGUGCACCGUGUUUCACAAAUCAUUCUAUAGCAUAACCAUGCAUCUGUAAUUUUUUUUUCUCUGUUCUCUGAGAUGUGUCAGUCUUAUUAAUUCAGUGAAGAGACAGUCUUAAAGAUUCAUAUUUUUCCAACAGCAGAUCUGUAGCUUAAGAGACUUGCCCCUUCCCUUUGGCAAUUAGUCAAUAUUCCUACAGCAAUUACAUCAAUUAAACAUAUAGGAGAAGCAUUUUUGGAAAAGAA